rnacentral:lncRNA from 1 species
CUAGGUUUACACAGGGGUUGUCAAAUGUCCUUUCCCUGCAAAUGGGAUUUCUGGUGAGAUUCCUAGAAGAAUACAGAUUUGCUGUUGAGGAGGAAGAUGGGCCUUGUUCGUUGUGCUACAGCUCUUCCUUCGAGCCAGAUGCCUGAAUGAGGGGCUCCUUUCCCUUCCUCAGGUCCCCAGAUUCUCCCUGCCUUUCUCUCCUGUCUCAGCCAUGUCCAGGAGGAGAAUUAAGGAUUACCUGAGCGCCGUGGAGUCUUCUACCCAACACUCCUGUCCCACCUACAGGGAAAUGAAUUCCUGCAGCUCAGACCUUCCAGUCUGGAAUCAAGUUGACCUGUAGCUGAAUGGGAAUUCUGCCAUUCUUCAUCUGGGAGUGAAGGGGGUGGGGCCAGUGUGCUGAAGACCACAGGGCUGAGAAAAAAAGCUGCCAACCUGCUGCCUGGAGAGAGAUCCCAGCAACCCUGAAGCCAGCUCUACCCCAGUGUGGCCAAGUCCUGACACCCAUAUAAUAAUCCACACAGCUCUUGUCUUGGUGGCAUUCUGGGGAUGGCUGGGGCACCCCAUUGAGCACCUGCUUCAG